AUAGGUAUAGCUCACUGGUAGAGCACAUGUUUGGCAUGCACGAGGUCCUGGGUUCAAUCCCCAGUACUUCCA
rfam:Camelus ferus unplaced genomic scaffold scaffold332, whole genome shotgun sequence.